UAAGAGGCAAAAGAGGCUGGCAUAC
rnacentral:piRNA from 1 species